GGGCGGUUCCCCCUUCGGGGGGACGAGGGUGGACAGGUGGUGCAUGGUUGUCGUCAGCUCGUGUCGUGAGAUGUUGGGUUAAGUCCCGCAACGAGCGCAACCCUCGACCUUAGUUGCCAGCAUUCAGUUGGGCACUCUAAGGUGACUGCCGGCUAAAAGUCGGAGGAAGGUGGGGAUGACGUCAAAUCAUCAUGCCCCUUAUGACCUGGGCUACACACGUGCUACAAUGGGCGGUACAAAGGGUCGCGAACCCGCGAGGGGGAGCCAAUCCCAAAAAGCCGCUCUCAGUUCGGAUUGCAGGCUGCAACUCGCCUGCAUGAAGCCGGAAUCGCUAGUAAUCGCGGAUCAGCAUGCCGCGGUGAAUACGUUCCCGGGCCUU
rnacentral:rRNA from 1 species